CCUACGGGAGGCAGCAGUGGGGAAUAUUGCACAAUGGGCGAAAGCCUGAUGCAGCAACGCCGCGUGCGGGAUGACGGCCUUCGGGUUGUAAACCGCUUUCAGUAGGGACGAAGCUAACGUGACGGUACCUACAGAAGAAGCACCGGCCAACUACGUGCCAGCAGCCGCGGUGAUACGUAGGGUGCGAGCGUUGUCCGGAAUUAUUGGGCGUAAGGGAUUGUAGGCGGUCCGUCGCGUCGAAAGUGAAAACUCAGGGCUCAACCCUGAGCCUGCUUUCGAUACGGGCGGACUAGAGGUAUGCAGGGGAGAACGGAAUUCCUGGUGGAGCGGUGGAAUGCGCAGAUAUCAGGAGGAACACCGGUGGCGAAGGCGGUUCUCUGGGCAUUACCUGACGCUGAGAAUCGAAAGCGUGGGGAGCAAACAGGCUUAGAUACCCUGGUAGUCCACGCCGUAAACGGUGGGCACUAGGUGUGGGGGACAUUCCACGUUCUCCGUGCCGAAGCUAACGCAUUAAGUGCCCCGCCUGGGGAGUACGGCCGCAAGGCUAAAACUCAAAGGAAUUGACGGGGGCCCGCACAAGCGGCGGAGCAUGCGGAUUAAUUCGAUGCAACGCGAAGAACCUUACCUGGGUUUGACAUAUGCCGGAAAGCUGCAGAGAUGUAGCCCCCGCAAGGUCGGUAUACAGGUGGUGCAUGGCUGUCGUCAGCUCGUGUCGUGAGAUGUUGGGUUAAGUCCCGCAACGAGCGCAACCCUCGUCCUAUGUUGCCAGCGGGUCAUGCCGGGGACUCAUAGGAGACUGCCGGGGUCAACUCGGAGGAAGGUGGGGAUGACGUCAAGUCAUCAUGCCCCUUAUGUCCAGGGCUUCACGCAUGCUACAAUGGCUGGUACAAAGGGCUGCGAGACCGCAAGGUUAAGCGAAUCCCAAAAAGCCAGUCUCAGUUCGGAUUGGGGUCUGCACUCGACCCCAUGAAGUCGGAGUCGCUAGUAAUCGCAGAUCAGCAACGCCGCGGUGAAUACGUUUCCCGGG
rnacentral:rRNA from 1 species